AAUCAGUAUACAGCUGUCAUCAGGAGCACUCCCUGCUCGGUACCAAUGACCUAAAAUCUCGUGGGAUUCAAUCACCUGCGUCCCGGACUGUAUGAAGUGUGCUCUCUCCUAUAGAAGUCAGACAUCGGGAUUUCCAUCUUCCUGGAAGACCGGCCCUUCAAAGCCAAUUUGUUCCAUGUCCCUGUUGAGUCCUGUUCCAGUGUGCAGAGGAGGAACCGUACGGAGUGGGCUGAGCCUGGCAAAGCUGGCUGCUUAGGGUGACUUCUCUGUAGAACGGAGUUCCAAAGUUACUGAAGGAGUGCUGCUGUGAGUCACCUUCCCGCCAGCCAGGUUUCUAAACUGAGCACCCAUGGCUGGAGGCAGAGUUCCAAGAGAAGCCAGCUCCCCAAAGCUCCCAUCAAGACUCAAAGGUCAGACCUAUGGAAGAAAACUGGAAAUUUGAGCCAUUUAUUUUGGGCUGUAAAUGUGAUCUAAGCAUUUCUGAAAAAAUCUCUCUGCUCUGUUCCAGUUCCAAUCAAGUUAAACAGAGUUUUUCCCUCUCAGCCUAGAGUUCAAGCCCCCAAGACCUGACUUUUUUGAUGUUCUCAGGGUGGUGUCAAACUUCACACGCUGCAAAGGCAGCUGUAGCCAUGAGGGCUGGUCUGCCAGAAGCUGGGCACACAGGAAACGCCACAAGCCACCUGUCAAAAACCUGACUGCAAUGAGAUGUGAGUGAAACCAGAAUCAGGCCUACUGCACAGAGUUAAUCAUAAAUAAUGCUGUCUCGGUAAUGGUUGCAAUUAGUUAUGAACUUCAGUCAUUUCUAACGUUUCCGU